AUUGAACGCUGGCGGCAUGCCUUACACAUGCAAGUCGAACGGCAGCACGGGUGCUUGCACCUGGUGGCGAGUGGCGAACGGGUGAGUAAUAUAUCGGAACGUACCUUAUUGUGGGGGAUAACGCAGCGAAAGCUGUGCUAAUACCGCAUAAUCCCUAAGGGGGAAAGCGGGGGACCGUAAGGCCUCGCGCAAUUAGAGCGGCCGAUACCUGAUUAGCUAGUUGGUGAGGUAAAGGCUCACAAAGGCAACGAUCAGUAGCUGGUCUGAGAGGACGUACAGCCAGAGUGGGACUGAGACGCGGCCAAGACUCCUACGGGAGGCAGCAGUGGGGAAUUUUGGACAAAGGGGGCAACCCUGAUCCAGCAAUGCCGCGUGAGGGAAGAAGGACUUCGGGUUGUAAAGCUCUUUUGUCAGGGAAGAAACAGCAGCUCUAACACAGUAUGCGAAUGACGGUACCUGAAGAAUAAGCACCGGCUAACUACGUGCCAGCCGCCGUAACAC
rnacentral:rRNA from 1 species